rnacentral:rRNA from 1 species
GAUGAACGCUAGCGGCAGGCUUAACACAUGCAAGUCGAGGGGUAUAGUUCUUCGGAGCUAGAGACCGGCGCACGGGUGCGUAACGCGUAUGCAAUCUACCUUUUACAGAGGGAUAGCCCAGAGAAAUUUGGAUUAAUACCUCAUAGUAUGUGAGAAUCGCAUGGUUUCACAUUAAAGUUCCAACGGUAAAGAUGAGCAUGCGUCCCAUUAGCUAGAUGGUAAGGUAACGGCUUACCAUGGCUACGAUGGGUAGGGGUCCUGAGAGGGAGAUCCCCCACACUGGUACUGAGACACGGACCAGACUCCUACGGGAGGCAGCAGUGAGGAAUAUUGGACAAUGGGCGCAAGCCUGAUCCAGCCAUGCCGCGUGCAGGAUGACGGUCCUAUGGAUUGUAAACUGCUUUUGUACAGGAAGAAACACUACUUCGUGAAGUAGCUUGACGGUACUGUAAGAAUAAGGAUCGGCUAACUCCGUGCCAGCA